rnacentral:lncRNA from 1 species
UUAGGAGUGAGGGACAAAUAUACUUUGUUGAUAUGAAGUCGACAGUCAUCUAUAUAUUGAUCUACUACUAUAAACAAAUGAUUUUACAUCAGUUGGAAAAAAGGAUUGUACCAUGAUUAUGAAGGUGAGGGAGGAUAAGAAGCGUCUCAUAGAAAGUUUGCCACUUUUCCCUGAUCAGGUUAACUGUCAACCAAGAGAAAAAGUGAAACUGAUUAUGGGUUUGAUCCCCAACAGCAAUAGUUUUAGAUUUUUAAAAAUGAAAAAGUGUGUCACUUUUCCUCUCAGUUAGAAUAAAUACCCAAGGUGAAAUAUCAUGUUUAUAUAAUUUUUUAACCUAUUUUUUUUAUUUCAAUCUACAAAGCAUCAAUUUUUUUGAAUUUUUU